rnacentral:rRNA from 1 species
AUGAACGCUAGCGGCAGGCUUAACACAUGCAAGUCGAGGGGUAAGGUUUUCGGACCUAGAGACCGGCGCACGGGUGCGUAACGCGUAUGCAAUCUACCUUUCACAGAGGGAUAGCCCAGAGAAAUUUGGAUUAAUACCUCAUAGUAUUAUAGAAUGGCAUCAUUUUAUAAUUAAAGUCACAACGGUGAAAGAUGAGCAUGCGUCCCAUUAGCUAGUUGGUAUGGUAACGGCAUACCAAGGCAACGAUGGGUAGGGGUCCUGAGAGGGAGAUCCCCCACACUGGUACUGAGACACGGACCAGACUCCUACGGGAGGCAGCAGUGAGGAAUAUUGGUCAAUGGGCGCAAGCCUGAACCAGCCAUGCCGCGUGCAGGAUGACGGUCCUAUGGAUUGUAAACUGCUUUUGCACAGGAAGAAACAACGCUACGUGUAGCGUCUUGACGGUACUGUGAGAAUAAGGAUCGGCUAACUCCGUG